AUGAACGAGAAGCUUCCUGAGUAUUGCCUUGACGAGGAGCUGGAGACGGAGAGGAUCGAGCGAGAGCUGAACCCCACCAGGCAGAUCAUCAACGACAAGGCUGCCCUUACCGUCCUUCGACUCAACGAGUGCCACGAUGAUGCCUUGGGCUACAUCACGCGCCUGCAUGGCGCCAUGGGGAGGAUCGACAAGGAACUGCAGCCCGGCAAGUCCAUUCAGAUGGAUCUGGAGUCGAUGAUGACUCGGCUGAACGGAAUCCCAUCCCGAGUGCAGGCGUGGAAGAAAUCAGCAACCAGGAGUGGUGCAGAUGUGGCCCUAUCACUCAUCCAUGUCCAUUGCAAGGACAUGGACGAGGAGAAGCUGAAGAACCUUCGAGUGAUCAACAAGAAGAAACUCAAGUUCGAGGACUUCAUGGAAACAUUUGCCGAAGCCGGCACGCGCAUUGCAGACGGGAUUGACCUGGAGACCUUCGUCGAGCCAACCAACCCCCAGCCCGAUGCAUGA
rnacentral:rRNA from 1 species